rnacentral:rRNA from 1 species
GUCGAGCGGAUGAGAAGAGCUUGCUCUUCGAUUCAGCGGCGGACGGGUGAGUCUGUCUAGGAAUCUGCCUGGUAGUGGGGGACAACGUUUCGAAAGCAACGCUAAUACCGCAUACGUCCUACGGGAGAAAGCAGGGGACCUUCGGGCCUUGCGCUAUCAGAUGAGCCUAGGUCGGAUUAGCUAGUUGGUGGGGUAAAGGCUCACCAAGGCGACGAUCCGUAACUGGUCUGAGAGGAUGAUCAGUCACACUGGAACUGAGACACGGUCCAGACUCCUACGGGAGGCAGCAGUGGGGAAUAUUGGACAAUGGGCGAAAGCCUGAUCCAGCCAUGCCGCGUGUGUGAAGAAGGUCUUCGGAUUGUAAAGCACUUUAAGUUGGGAGGAAGGGCAUUAACCUAAUACGUUAGUGUUUUGACGUUACCGACAGAAUAAGCACCGGCUAACUCUGUGCCAGCAGCCGCGGUAAUACAGAGGGUGCAAGCGUUAAUCGGAAUUACUGGGCGUAAAGCGCGCGUAGGUGGUUCGUUAAGUUGGAUGUGAAAUCCCCGGGCUCAACCUGGGAACUGCAUCCAAAACUGGCGAGCUAGAGUAUGGUAGAGGGUGGUGGAAUUUCCUGUGUAGCGGUGAAAUGCGUAGAUAUAGGAAGGAACACCAGUGGCGAAGGCGACCACCUGGACUGAUACUGACACUGAAGUGCGAAAGCGUGGGGAGCAAACAAGAUUAGAUACCCUGGGUAUCCACGCCGUAAACGAUGUCCACUAGCCGGUGGGGGGCUUGAGAAUUUUGUGGCGCAGCUAACGCAUUAAGUUGACCGCCUGGGGGGGACCGGGCGCCAGGUUAAAC